AUGCUCACCUCAGCAGCACAUACACUAAAAUUGGAACAAUGCAGAGAAGACUAUAAUGACCCCUGCACAAGGAUGACACACAAAUUAGUGAAAUGUUCCAUAUUUUA